UCUCCUCUCGAUAUCGGGUCUUGCCCUAUUGUCGAGUUGUCAAAUCGAGACUUAUCUCUUGGUAUUAGCUACUGCAACCAACACGCUCUAUCUAGAGAGUCGUUCGUGAUUUCCUUCUUGAACAGGCAGCUAAGAGGUCUUGUUUGAGUGGGUAGAAGAAGGCAGGGUGGCUAAGAGGUGUUGCUCGAGUGUUGAAAGAACGAAACUCCUACUCUUUGCAGGGUAUAUGAUCAACAAGUCGGACAAACCCGACCGCAAAGCCAUCAACUCUUCUGGGUUAGCCUUUUCUUUUUCUUUUCCACUCAGUGCUGGUGAUAGAAAAAGGAAGGAGGUCAGCUUAUUCUCCUUUAUGCAAUGGAAUCUACUUUUUUAUAUUUUUAUUUCAUUCUUUGAAA